GAACUAAUUGCAACCAACGUUGGUUCAUCCAAAUAAUAACAGUAUUUUCUAAAGCAGCAAUUCCACAAAGGUUUUCCACUAACUGCACUCCCUCCCUAGUCCCUACUGGCAAAGCCAAACUCGAAGGAGUCUUGAUUCAUGGCUGCUCUUGGUGAUUGGUAGCAUGAUCUGUCUCUGCUCUCCCAUCUGCCAUGCUAAUCAAUGGAGCAUGUGCGCUGGGAAUUCGUCUGGCUCGCCAUGAAGCAAAACAAGCUCACAAGGUCCACAGUCAUCCAAAUGUAUGCUCUGAAGCUUAAAUUGGUAGUAUCAUAUUCUGUGUCCAGGACUCCGAGAUUGAUGCUAAUGUGGCAAAUGCGUUGAUGUGCACACAACAAAACCUCAACGCUGGCGACGUACACCGACCCAUGAUGUCCCAGUGUGUCGACGGUGUGCUCGCCAUUGUCCGCCUCUUCCUAUACACGGAACUGGGCCACCCUCCUGUUCCUCACCGGCAUGCUGUGCUCCACAGGGCUGUCACUUGCUCGAUUGACACUGACCCCAUCGUCUGCCUUUGGUUGGUGUGCCCUGCCGCUAGCUACGUGCUCUGCCACUCUCAUGUAGUGUCAACUUGUACGUCGGCCUCGCCAUCUUCAACUCUGCAGGCAACUUGUGCUCUGCUACUCUCACGUCACCGCCGUAAUCUGAGGCCGACACCGAGCUGCUGUGAGUUGGGCCAAUCCACCAUGAAUCGAAUGAAAUCCCUACAGUUGGAACAGCUAUUUGAUCAUAUAUUUUGAAGUUCAAUCUGGUAUCUUAUACCGUGUCCAGGAAUCCGCGGCGGAUGCUGCGGAGCAGCAACUGUUUUUAUGUGUACCGCCUCAUACUUUAUGUCGACCGCGCCCUCUGCUUCUUGGUGUGCCUGCCCGCUUUCCAGCUGCGUCGCCUGCUCCUCUGCUUGCUCCAUAUCCUAUUUCCUACGUCGACGAUCGACCUCGCCAUCUUCAACUCCGGCAGCGUAAUUUGAAGCCGGCACCAAGUGACUUUUAGGAAUGGAUUCCUUAUUUGUUGAGAGGGUUGCUGGUCAUCCUCCACGGCCGGAUGCGCUGUACCAGCACCACCGUGUGUUUAAC